AUGGUCAAGAAGAUGAACAAAAGAAAAAGGAUGGUUAGAGGAGCCGCUGUUUUUGUCACACUUGCUGCAAUUGCAGUCAUUGUUCGAGCUAUAAUAAGGAAGAGAAGAACACUUAUUACAUAUGGCCCAAUGUAUGAAAGAGAUCGAAUCAGAUAUGAUUAUCUAGAUCAAAAAAUUUGGCAAAGCGAUGUGUUAUGUAAAAACAUGUUAAGGUUUAAAAGAGCUGCGUUCUUUUGCUUGUGUGGCAUACUCAGGGAUCACAAAUUGCUAGAAGACAGUCCACAUCUUAGCGUGGAGCAACAAUUAGCGAUGUUUUUUGCAUACAAUUGGGCAUAA
rnacentral:rRNA from 1 species